rnacentral:rRNA from 1 species
UAGGGAAUCUUCGGCAAUGGACGAAAGUCUGACUGAGCAACGCCGCGUGAGUGAAGAAGGUUUUCGGAUCGUAAAACUCUGUUGUUAGAGAAGUACAAGGACGUUAGUAACUGAACGUCCCCUGACGGUAUCUAACCAGAAAGCCACGGCUAACUACGUGCAAGCAGCCGCGGUAAUACGUAGGUGGCAAGCGUUGUCCGGACUUAUUGGGCGUAAAGCGUGCGCAGGCGGUUUCUUAAGUCUGAUGUGAAAGCCCCCGGCUCAACCGGGGAGGGUCAUUGGACACUGGGAGACUUGAGUGCAGAAGAGGAGAGUGGAAUUCCAUGUGUAGCGGUGAAAUGCGUAGAUAUAUGGAGGAACACCAGUGGCGAAGGCGGCUCUCUGGUCUGUAACUGACGCUGAGGCUCGAAAGCGUGGGGAGCAAACAGG